AGUACUGGUUCCCAUACAGUCACAGAAUUUAAGCAACAUUGAGCCUAUCCAGUACGUAGAUGGGUGACCAUUUGGGAAUACCAGGUAGUGG